UACGUAGGGUGCGAGCGUUGUCCGGAAUUAUUGGGCGUAAAGAGCUCGUAGGCGGUUUGUCGCGUCGGCCGUGAAAACCUGGGGCUUAACUCUGGGCUUGCGGUCGAUACGGGCAGGCUAGAGUUCGGUAGGGGAGAUCGGAAUUCCUGGUGUAGCGGUGAAAUGCGCAGAUAUCAGGAGGAACACCGGUGGCGAAGGCGGAUCUCUGGGCCGAUACUGACGCUGAGGAGCGAAAGCGUGGGGAGCGAACAGG
rnacentral:rRNA from 1 species